rnacentral:lncRNA from 1 species
CUGAAUGUAACUGGUUCCCAUAGGCUCACAGGUUAUAGCACUAUUAUGAGGUGUGGCCUUCCUGCUGCCUACGGAUCAAUACAUGGAACUGUCAGUCCCUUCUCCAGCAUCAAACCUGCAUGCUGCCAUGUUUCCUGGGAUGCUGAUAAUGGACAAAACCUUUGAACCUACUUCAACUCCCCGUAUGUUUCUGUAUUAAACCUGGGCUGAGAAGAAAUAUGCCACAUUGGGGAAACAGAAGGAAAGCAGCAGCUAUUACACCCGAAGCAGUGAGGUGGCCAAGGAUAAUGAGAGGCAGCUACACAGGCGCUGAUGACAGGCUUGCUGAGCCCCCACUCCAAGUCCAGCUCUUCUCAACUGCCAGCCCAUGGGCCAGCAAUCCAGGCCCACUAAAACCUUCACUAGGAACUGGCAGAUGCGGACCUGGAGGACCAGGGAAGGAGACAAAUGAACACUCCCAAACCUUUCUGCUUGACCAAGUUUAUGCUGUCCUGGGCAAUCUCCUUCUCAAGAUUCUGCGAGCACAGUGGAACUGGCCACUUCUGACACAGUACAGAAGCUGCUCUGCAGAGUUAAGUCAAACCGGUUUCCGCUCAGACGUCCUGAACUAACUAACAUGCCACCACAGCUCUGCUGCUCAAGAAGACAUGUCUUUUGUUUCUCAAGUUUCAAUUUGCAAACAACAAAAUUUUAUUAAAACUCUAAAUUAGGGGUUUUAAAAAUAUAAUUAAACUUUAUUUGUAAAACAACAAAACUUUAAUUAUCAAAUAAAACGAU